AUCAAACUCAGGGGAAAGACAGACUCUCUAUUCACAGGAGGCGUGCUCUACCAACUGAGCUAAAUGGCAUUGAAGGAGUUACCACCUCUCACUGUAAACAAGGUGAAAUGAGUCCCGCCCACAGACUCUCUGACGAAUGCGGGUUGUGCGCGCCAAAAGGGGCGGUUCUAACUCGUCUCCCGUGCAAGGUUUGUGCAUUUCCCUCCAAAAUUUUAAAUGCCUAUAAAGUCCUUGAGGUCGCUACACUCUGGUCGCAGCAGCUCUUCUCUGAGGACACGAACACGAACACGUGGGACUUCAGCUUCAAGUGGAACAGCUCUGACCUGUGUGGUGAUCAGACCUGGAGAGGAGAGACACCUGGUCCAACAAGGUGAUGGAUGGUUGACAGGACAAAUCAUCAAGAAGAGCCAAACAUUGGAGAUGAGCUGCCACAGGAGCCUGAAGGAAAAGUAACGAGAGCAGCCAGGAGCUGAAAGUUUGUGCAGAGGAACAGGAUGCUGAGGACGAGUUGGAAGACGGUUCCCUGAACUGAAUCCCGAUUUCUUGUAAUCAAGUUUUGUGGACUGACAGUUUGUAUGUUUGGUGCUCGGCCCAGGACAGGAGAGACAGCUGGUUCAACAAGGUGAUGGAUGGUCCACGACGAGCCAGUCAUUGGAGAUGAGCCACCAGAGGAACGCAAUGGGAAAGUAACAUGAGCAGCCAGGAGCUGAAAGUGUGGCCAGAGGAACAGGCAGAUGAGGACGAGUUGGACGACAGUUUCCUGAACUGAAUCCUGAUUUCCUGUACUCAAGUUGUGUGGACUGACAUGUUGUCUGGUUGGUGCACGGCCCAGGACAGGAAGGCUCUGCAGCGAGUGAUCCAUCCAUCCACAGAGCAUCAGUGACAGUGGAGAGGUGAGGUGUCUGCACAGAGCUCAAAGAAUACUGAAAAGACUAAAAGAACCACAAGUUACCGUUGACGUAGCUUCUGUCCUCAGGCCAUGAGAUUCCUGAACAUCCUCAACAAAAUAGACUGCUUUUGUUUCUGUCUCUGAUGUAGUGUUACGUCCCCUGAGGUCGUAACACUACACAUAAAUAUUUCUGUAUGUGCUUGUCUCUCCUUGAAUAAUCUCUUUUACCUGAGUG